GAGUGUAUAGCUCAAGUGGCAGAGUACAUGCUUAACAUACAUAAGGUCCUGGGUUCUAUUUCCAGUACUUCCU
rnacentral:tRNA from 1 species